AAGACUAUAGACCUGCGGAGUACCUGCGGAGGGAUCAUUACUGAAUUUUGAAUCGGGUUGUAGCUGGCCAUCUCUGGCAUGUGCACGCCUCAUUCUCAAUCCAUCUUCACACCUGUGCACUCAUUGUAGGCUGGUGGUUAAUGGGGUUCGGGCUUCCGACCCCUAACCCUAGACUAUGUCUUAUCCCACAAUCUCCAGGUCAUAGAAUGUUGUGUAUGCGUUCCAACGCAUCUUUAAAUA
rnacentral:misc_RNA from 1 species